UACGUAGGGUGCAAGCGUUGUCCGGAAUUAUUGGGCGUAAAGAGCUCGUAGGCGGUUUGUUGCGUCGGCUGUGAAAUCCCGAGGCUCAACCUCGGGUCUGCAGUCGAUACGAGCAAACUAGAGUGUUGCAGGGGAGACUGGAAUUCCUGGUGUAGCGGUGAAAUGCGCAGAUAUCAGGAGGAACACCGGUGGCGAAGGCGGGUCUCUGGGCAACAACGUGACGCUGGAGGAGCGGA
rnacentral:rRNA from 1 species